UUAUGUGCACUUAUGAGUGUGGAUCUAAGC
rnacentral:piRNA from 1 species